rfam:Oryctes borbonicus contig2949, whole genome shotgun sequence.
GCGGCUCAGCGGUACAUAUACUAAAAUUAGAACGACACCGAGAAGAAUAGUAUGGUUCCUGUGCAAGGAUGACAUUCAAAUUCAUAAACCGUUCCAUAUAAUU